UGUGAUUUUUCGGGUUUUGGGACCUGGCAGCGGCAGGACAUCUCCAAGAUAUAGGAGGUGUUGUUAGCCAUUGCAGCUCUAGCUGUGCUGUUCGUGGAUGAUCCAUGGCUUCGACCAACCUUCCGAUCUAAAGUCAUCCUUUGAUGGUGAGCUAUCAGCAACCCACUUGCAUUCGGGAUUUGAGAUGGAUGUGAUUUCUUGGACCUGUUGAAGACGGUUGAUACGACCUGCGUAUGAAGGCGGGUACCUCUUGACUUAUCUUUUAUGAUAUUGUCAUUGGAUAUGCAUAGUAUUUUAUAACUACAUGCAAUGAACAUGUUUGCCUUUGGUAUGUCACUGUUUGAUAUCCA